AUUCAAGAAUGCAUAUGAGUGACGGAUAAGCAAAGCUGGUGAAAAAUGACAGAGGAACAGGGAAUUCAAACCCCAAGGAGGAGUAAUGAUGACAAAUGACAUCUGCCUUGUCUCCAGGAGGGUUUGCUACAUGUGGAAGGGAGCUGCACAAAUGUGGAAUGAGCAGUGAGGCUCUCUCUCCGUCACUGACAGUGUAAAGGGCAGGGGGCCCAUCGAAGCGCACGGCCAGACUCCCAUCUAGAAGCAGGCCUGCCACUUUCCAGCGAGCAAAAGGGGGAAGCAGGGCGCUAAUGGAAUUUCGGGAUCCAUUUAAAUGCCAUUGGCUUUUAUCGGCUUGGUGAGGUACAGUAGAGGACAAAGCCCUUGUUUAGGUUCAUGUUAGGUAACUGUGGGUUCAGGUCACACCAGGUCAUUUUCAGUAUGUAUAUUUUAUAAUACCAUCCAUAUUCAAAGUUUUUUUUGUCAUGCUGCAGAGAUGUAAUCAUCCGCACAUUGUCUCCACAUGCAUCACCAGGCCUCAACACAGGAAGUGAACUUUUUUUAAGACCUCACUUCCUGACCAAGGCCUGUUUUGUUCCCUUGUCAUGAUGAGUCUUUCACCUGUGUCUAAAUGAAGGGGUGGGUUUCUAGCCAACCCACUUGCUUCUAGGUGUCAGCCAUCUGAGGAGGUCAUUAUUACAAUGUCAAUCUACGAGGAUGGAACAAGAGUCAUCAUUUAAAUCCAACAAAGUGGAAAAAGGAUGAUGGCUUUCGCAUCCUGUAACAGAGCAACACGUGUCCUGAAGGGAUGCCAGAGUCCCUGGCCUGGGGUAAGACUUCUGAACCAUGACCAGCCUAUCAUCAAACCCCAGCCAGCAGCACGGAGGCUCAGACAGGGGCUUUACUGGCUGUUUGAGGUCACCCGCUACGACCAGUCGUCUCAUAUUUACAGACCAUUGCAUCAUCUCUCCCAGACAAAUGAGAACCUGUGUAUUAUUAAGCGGGUGUAGAACGCAAGCUAAUUAACUUUGUCAUGACCAAUUUCCAAGACUCAGAGUCAUCUCACAUGAAGGUAUGGAUGGAAAUCACCAGUCACAAUGUGACUGGUGAUUUCUAGGUGGCUUAACGUUAGGUUAAUGUUAGGGUUAGGAUGACAUUAUGGGUUGGGAUUCAAUAUUAAGCAUCAUUUCAGGGUUAAGGUCAGAAAAUAGAUUUAGGUUUUGUUUUUGGGUGCAGGUAAGUUUUCUGUGGUUAAGGUUAGGGUCACAAUAAGGGUUAAGGUAGGUUUAGGGUUAGGGUUAGAGGUUAGCGAAAAGAGGACUUUGAAUGGGACUGAAUUGUCCCCACAAUAAUCACAACACAAAUGUGACUAUGGUGUGUGUGUGUUUGUUUGUGUGUGUGGGGAGCUGUCUAUACACAGAACAGUGAAAUCCCAGAUGCUUACGGGUACCAUGGGCAACCAGAGAAAGGCUGAAGUCAGACAGUGAGGAAGUACUCGACUCUUGCAUCAAGGACUCAUGCCAGACUAACCCGUCCUCCACCCUGAGCCCAAACAACAACAACAGCCAUUUAUACUGUCUGGGGCUUUUAGGGGGGUGAAGAAUGUGCUCUAAUAUGCAGCCUGAAUAUGAUCACUCAUGUUGAGCCAUAAGAAUAUUAAAAGAACCACCAACCAAACCAACCUUGUUUGUAAUCAAAUACGGUUUGACUAGAGAGACUACUUAGGGACGCGCAAAUGAGCUAUGAUCCAUUUAAGUGAACGUCCUUUCUGUAACCACACCCUCCUGGCCAGCUCACAACAGUACAGUGUCUGUACACAAAUCUGCAAGAAGGGUGGAGUCAGGUGGCUAAGCGGGUAGAGCAUCGGGCUAGUAAUCUGUAGGUUGUCAGUUCGAUU